UGGUGGGGUAACGGCCCACCAAGCCGAAGAUCCGUACGGGCCAUGAGAGUGGGAGCCCGGAGAUGGACCCUGAGACACGGGUCCAGGCCCUACGGGGCGCAGCAGGCGCGAAACCUCCGCAAUGCGGGAAACCGCGACGGGGUCAGCCGGAGUGCCGAUGCUUGCAUCGGCUGUCGGGGAGCCUAAAAAGCUCCCCAUAGCAAGGGCCGGGCAAGGCCGGUGGCAGCCGCCGCGGUAAUACCGGCGGCCCGAGUGGCGGUCACUAUUAUUGGGCUUAAAGCGUCCGUAGCCGGGUUGGGAAGUCCUCCGGGAAAUCUGGCCGCUUAACGGUCAGAAUGCCGGAGGAUACUCCCAGCCUAGGGAGCGGGAGAGGCCGAGGGUAUUCCCGGAGUAGGGGUGAAAUCCUAUAAUCCCGGGAGGACCACCUGUGGCGAAGGCGCUCGGCUGGGACGCGUCCGACGGUGAGGGACGAAGGCCAGGGGAGCAAACCGGAUUAGAU
rnacentral:rRNA from 1 species